CUGUGUCACCCAGGCUAGUCUUGAACUCACGAUCCUCUUGCCUGUUUACACGGUGGGAUCACCAGUAGAACCGAAAGCUUUUAGGGCAUUUCAAGUUCUCCUGACCCACGCCACUUACCCUUUGGCCUGAUGACAGUUUGAGGCAGUGCUCUUUGUCAAUAUCAUCAUUUCCUGGCAAAUGGGCAGGAAACCCCUAUCUUCUACCACCGUCUGCCUGAUCCACUCUUCUUGAUUACUUAAAUAAUGAUGCAAUCGAAAACCCCUGCCUGUUGUUCCUGUUUGAAACGUAUUCCUUCCUUUUCAAGGAAGUGGCAGUGUCUAGUGAGAUCUGAAAAUAUGCUGUGGCUGUCUUCUCGGUCCACAGAAUCACUUCUAUCUCUUAUUCACUGUUAAUACUUUUGUUAACCUACCACUUUUCAUCUGAUCCCCCCCCCAUCUCUACUAAAUGCAACGAACAGUUACAAAAUA
rnacentral:lncRNA from 1 species